UUAAACUAAGAAUAUAUAGGGUAGAGUUUUAUAUUCAAAAAUUAAUAUAAGAUGAAGAUAUAAAUAAAUAUUUAUAAAUUAGACUUUUUAGUGGCCAUAUUAUUAAAGUAUUUUAACUAUUAAAAUAAAAAAAGUUUUAUUUUUAUUCUCUUUUUUUUAGUAGAAUAUAUUUUAUAUCAAAAAUAAAUUAGAAAUAAUGAAAAUAUUAGUAGAAAAAAAAUAUUAUUUGUAUAAAUAUAAAUUAAUAAAUAAAAUUUAAUAGAAGGGAAAGAAAAAUUAAAGGAACUCGGCAAUUUUUUUUCUUGCCUGUUUAACAAAAACAUGUCUGUAUGAAGUUAUAUAAAGUCUGGCCUGCCCAUUGAAUAAAUUUAAAAGGCCGCGGUAUAUUAACUGUGCAAAGGUAGCAUAAUCAUUAGCUUUUUAAUUGAAGGCUUGUAUGAAUGGUUGGACAAAGUAAAGGCUGUCUUUAAUUUUAUUUUUUGAAUUUAACUUUUAAGUGAAAAGGCUUAAAUGAAUUUAAGGGACGAUAAGACCCUAUAAAUCUUUAUAUUAAAUUGUUAUUUUGAAAUUUAAUGGUUUGUUUAAAUAAAUAAGAAAACAAAAAAUAUUUUGUUGGGGUGAUGAGAAUAUAUAAAUAACUGUUCUUAUUUUAUACAAAGUUAUUUGUUUAAGAUUAGUAGAUCCUUUAUUUAAGAUUAAAAGUUUAAGUUACUUUAGGGAUAACAGCGUUAUUUUUUUUGAGAGUUCUUAUCGAAAAAAAAGUUUGCGACCUCGAUGUUGAAUUAAAAUUUCUCUACGGUGUAGAAGUUGUAGAAGAGAGUCUGUUCGACUUUUGAAGUUUU
rnacentral:rRNA from 1 species